GCUUGUUUGUGCAAAUAGCCUGGGAUCAGGCUAUGAUUCCUGGAUCAUUUCUCUCCUUGCGGAGGUUGGGGGACAAGAGCGAACUCUGUGACAUCUCGGGGAUGCAGCAGGUUCCUGUGGCCCCUAUGUCGAGGGGAAGGACUUAGAGGCAGCGGGGAGAGGAUGUGAAGCAGGACCUGGCGACAAAAGGGGGGCCCUACCGAUACCCCCACUCAGGAGGCUCAGGUGUGUGAAACAAAUCCCAAACCCUCUGUUAUGAAUUUUUUUUGUUGGCACGCGCAGGAGGAAGUGAUGGACUGGUUCUUUCUGGAGAGCGGCUGCCAACCCCAAGCAGCCCCCUGCGGCCCCCCAGCCCCUUUGCCAGCAUUUGUUCCUAGCAGAAGGGCUGUUUGUGUGCUGUUUGGGCUCCUUUUCUUUGUUUUAAGUGUGGCUACAAUCAGCUGCUGAGAGGCUCACUGCUCCGGUUCGUUCUCUGCCAAUUUCACUGAGAGCUGGCACCACAGGCGGCUCCGGAGGCAACGAAGAGAGGCUGGGGAGGAUAGAUCAUGGAGGGGAAAAAAUGGACACAUGCCAUUGACGGAGCGGCGAGGCUGCCAGAAUGCCAGCAGGCAGCAUGGGGCCAAAAAAAAAAAAACCCCACACAGAGCAGAAAAGAAGCUGGCAGCCCAUCUCAAAGCAGGCGGUGGCUGAGUUGGGAGAGGUGCCAUGGAGGACGGGCUGCAGCGAGCAGGCAAUGCGGGAAAGAGAGAGAGAAAAACAGACAGACAAAUUGGCAGAGGCAGGACAGGUAGCAGACGGCGAAUCGGGAGAGGAAAAAGAUGCAGCCCGGCCCCAAAGGGAUCCCUGUUCAUCACUGGCUCUCACUGGGUCCAUCACACUGAGGAUGCCAUUUCUCCCACCGAGAGAGUACAGAGCUUUGACUGUAGGAUAGCUACGCAGCAGUCCAGUGGGAACCUCCACCGUCGUCCCCAUGAGCCCUCUCCCACUGCACACACUGAACUGCAUCAGCAUCCGCUGGCUUCGGGAGCUCGCAUACGCUGCUGUGAGAGAUGAGGCCAGGCCAGGUGCCUUCCCCUCCUCGUAGGAAUAUUCCUGGAUUUUGGCUCUUUCACUGGGAGGUGUAGGAGGAACCUCCGAGGCCUCAGCAGAGGAUGUCUUACAACAGCCAGGCGGCAGUGCCCAAUGUGUCUCUCCACACGUCGCCAGCUGGGUGUAAUGGUGCACGCGCGGCGUGAGCACACGGCACUGGGCCGCAGAGUUAGCGGUGUGCUGGGAGGAGGCGGGUUAUGUGCUUUCAGGGAUACACCCAUUGCUGCUCAGCUAUUGCCCGGGACACUUGGGACAGCCCUCUGGAAUGUGGGAAUGAGCACGAAGGCCUCCUGGAAUUUCACGAACAGCUCCUUUGGCACCGGGUCAUGGCUCAGACCGGCACAGGGGCCUAGUGAGAACAUGUCAGGGCACGUCCAGGGAAGGGGAAAGCAAUGGUGCCAUCUGGAGCGGUGGGCGAGGCACUCCGAACGGCACAAGGGACAGGAUGCAAAGGUUACAUGAUAUCAGUUAAAUCUACCCUGCAGCCCAACACGGUAUCUGCACUCACCUGGCAUGCGGUGACUCCUUCAUUAUCAAGGCCUGGCCAAGGUGGUGUCAGCUACGUGACACACUGCAAAGAAACUGGUGUGACCUGGGGAGGCACAGAGGGCAGCAGAGUCAGUCCUUACUAGGAGCGCAGGCCCAGCUGUAUCUGGGGGGAGGAGAAUGGGGUGCAGGAACUGAAGGCCUCAGCUGCCCCCUUGCCAGUCCCAGCAGAGGGACAUUUGUAGGAAAGGCUGCAGCUCCUGUGGACCAAAGUAUGGCUGCAUUGGAGAUUCCUGGGCUGAGCACAGCUGUUCUGAUCCCUUCCUGGCUCAAGGACAGUCGAUCAGCACGAAGGAUGGAAAGUCCAAACUGAGCAAAACAAAAGUCUGUUCGCCCCAUGUUUAAUUAGCUUCUGGAACUCACUGCCACCGGAUGUCGGUGAAGCCAAGAACUUCAUGAGAAUGAAAGAGGGACUGGACAUUUAUACAGAUAACAAGACUCUCCAAAGCUAUUAUCGUACGUACGUCAACCAAAAGAGGUUGAGAAGGCGUAUAAAAUCUCCUGCUUCAGGGCUUAAGCGAAUCUCCAGCUACAAGGGAUCCUGCUACCUAUUGGUAUCCAAUACCAAGAGGAGGCCAGAAGAUGAAGAUGUAGCUCUAUCUAUCUAACCAUCCCUCCGUUCAUCCCAUGCUCAUCACUGUGAUAAACGACUGCCUCCCGACAGAAUGACCCCAAUGUGAAUGAAGUGUUGUGUGCAGCACAUGGCCUGGGGCCGGAGAGCAGGAGAUAAGGGGAGCAGCAGAGAAAACGAGUGAAUUUUAGUUCUGAAAGUGGGACAAUGAUAGCUCUGGCUGGAGCCAGGCCAAGUUGGGCCCACGGCCCCCCAGCCCCCGGGUGUCUCUGCAGCUCCUGUGCUAUUCUCUUCCCAGGUUCAUUAGGAGGGCCCAGCUCCUGGCUUCCUCCAGAGAAUGCUGGGGAAAUAUGAAUGACGAGGAUGCAGUGAAAGGGAGAUGGUGGGUGAGAAAUGGUCUCCUCUGGCAGUGCCAGCUACUGUGCAAAUAAGGGGUCAGAUUGUGUUGUGAAGGCCAAAAAUAUAAUUGGGUUCAGAAAAGAAGUAGCUAAGUGCAUAGAAGACAGGUCCAUUUAUGGCUAUUGGCCAAGACGGUCAGGGGUGCAACCCCAUGCUCUAGGUGUCCCUAAAAAGCUGCCUGCCAGAAGCUGGGACUGGAUGAACGGAGAUGGAUCACUCAACAAUUACCCUGUUCUGGUCGUUCCCUCUGAAGUGCCUGGCACCAGCCACUGUUGGAAGACAGGACACCAGGCUGGGUGGACCAUUGCUGUGACCCACUGUGACUGUUCUGAUGUUCAGAUCCACGGACCCUGCUCUGGCUGCUUGGCAGGGGUCUCCUCAGGAGCUGGAGAACAGCUGUGAAGGAGAGGACACCCCCACCCCAACCCCAGAACCACCAGCAUGGACAGGUCCAAACUGACAGUCCAGGGAGGAAAGGCUCUGUACCCUGUGCCAAGCCCCUAGGCCUCCCUCUCUGCCCCUUCUCCUUAGUUUCCCCUCCAGGAGUGGGGACAGACUCUGACGACGUCAGGGUGGAUGUUGUUUUAACAGGUUCCAAGUGUCUCCACAUUUACAUUUGUUUCCAUUUAGCACAUUUAAAAGGCAGAAAGGAUGCUGUGAAUGUCACUGAGCAGGCACAAGAAGGAUGGGAGAGAAAUUCAUCACAGGCCACCUCUGUUCUGCCUGCCCUGCUCGUCCUCCCCCGGCACCGAGAGGACAGGCUCUCUCCGUUCCAUGGUCAGGGCUGCUGCUCUCUCCAGCGAGUGGCAAGGAGUCCCGGGUGUGCAGCCCCUGUGCAGGUGGAAGGGCGCUGGGGAAGCUGGGGGGUGCAUGCCCCUGACCUGCAGGAGGCAGGUGCCUUGACAAGUAGCUCCAGGGCUGUGCUGGCGAGGGGGCAGGCCAGAGCCCACAGUGUUCCUGGAGGUCUGACAGGACGGGCUGGAAGAUGAGGUCCUCCCAGCAGCUUUCCAGUCUCCCCUCACUCUGCUCAGGGCCUGAUUCUGAACAGCUCCACAUCUUGGUGCAGGUCAGCUCCAGACCCAGUGCCAGACCCUGGGACUGGGGCUCAUCCCCAGCAGAUUCAGAUGAGAAACUUCAGUUCUCCUUCUCUCCCGUCCCAUGCCGUUGGGGGAGGCCUCUCUGCCCAGGAGGUGCAGUCAGACGGACUGGGCGGGCAGGGCACCCUGGGGCUUGGCCCUAGCAGCCUGCAGGCAGGUGGGAGGUGGGUGUUUUCCUUGUAGGGGAGGGGGCCAAAUGCCUUGGAGAGGGUCUUGCCAGCGACGCUGGAGGCAGAGCUGCCUGCGCGGCGUGUGGCAGCAUCUCGGCAGCACUCAGGGAGGAAGCGGCUCAGCUUGAUGCGAAGCCCCCCACUGGCUCCUGCUCAUCGGAGUGAGCCAAAAUGACUCGGUUUGUCUGGAAACUGUGGGUGUCUUGAACGGGUUGGGGGGUAAUUUGUCUGUCUCCUGCAGCUGGCUGUCACUUCACAUCUGUGCACCAGUUUCAUUUUCACUAUCUGUAAAAAAUCCCAGGUCUGACAGGUAGUUAAAAAAAACCCAACCAGUAACCCACAAACCAUUCAUCUUGAGCAAAGCAAGUGGCUGGGAGCCUGGGACGGCUCUCCAGUGCUGGGGGGGAGGAUGGGGGGUGAGAGGAGACGCUGUUGGGACGGGGACACAGAGAUCAGAAUCACUGCUGGUCCCAUAUGACGGUAUAUCGCAGGGCUGUGCUGGGCCUGUGAGCGGCCUCGGCUGCAGCCGGAUGCUGUCUGGAGAGAGCAGAGGGGAAGCGCAUAAGCUACCCAUGGGAUUGCUGAACUGGGCUGAGAGGAGAGCUCAGCAAGGCGAAGGAUGGGGGCAAAUGGUGGUGGGAAAACUUUGGAAAUUUUGGUGUAAAAACGUUGGAUUUGUGAGAAGCGUGGAGCCACGCUAGAGAGGAAAGUGGGGACUGACCCUUCUCGAGCAGGUGCCAGGCCUGCACUGGGAGCUAGAAAUGGCCUGCAGGGCACGAGUGAUUUGUUUUGGGGUCUCAGACUGGAGAACAUGAGACGUCUUGUCCCAGGUGCACAGAAAGAGGAGCCGGGAGGUGUUCCCCCCUUGCCAUGGAAGUGGCUGGGUGAAGCCAAGGGAACAGGAAGCUCCCUGGCAUGAAACCAGAGACCAUAGAGCGUGUGGCUAGGAUGUCAGACUAUGCACAGAACAUGGGUACAGCGGAUAUUGUGUCUACAGUCACUGGUUUCCAGCUCAGUGUCACAUAGAGUCACUUAGGACCAGGACUCAAAAUUGUGAAAACUACUAUUAGAAAUGUAAUUCUCCUCUGUUUUAUGACAUCACAGAAUAUGGCGGAGCUGGCCACGCUGUCAUGCUAGGUAACUUUGUGGACAUAUGGUCACAGGCGUUUUCUGACAUGCUUUCAUCCCCGGCACCUCUCUGCUCCGUCUGCUCCAGCUCCCAGCACUACCCGCCCUUGAGAAGCAGCUGAUUCUCCCUGAGCAGCGAUAGAGGUGAGCUCUCUCUUGCUGCACGCUGGGCUUGUCCUGCCAUACCAAAGGGAGGCGAGAGAUGGUUUGGACCAGUGGUUCUCAUCCUGCGGCCCAAUCAGCUCACAGCUGCGACCCAUGUGACAUCCUCAGGGCCACACAGACAGUAUAUCUAUUGCGUGGAUGAGGCCCACCUAACACACAGAGCUGCAUAUGCAGCCCACAGUGGUAAUGUAAACAGGUUGAGACCCGCUGGUCUGGACAUUCGCUGUACAUUUGAUACAAUUACACAGUUAAGUGUGCGUGAUUUCAAAACACACAAAGUUAUUAAAAACCCACCGAAACUGCUCCAUUGUCAUUCCGUUCAAAAGCCAUUGUCACACAAGCGUCCUUUUAGAGUCUACGGAACUGGACAUCUUUCUAAUAUCGUAAUAUUAAACAGAUGUGACAUCUUGCUCCAUCCUGCUCUCACUGACCCCAGGGCAGCCCCAUUGCCAGAUGCCCAAGUGAGGUUUGCACACAGCCCUGCAGGAAUGCAUAAGAACAGACUUACUGGGUCAGACAAAAGGUCCAUCUAACCCAGGAUCCUGUCUUCCAACAGUGGCCAAUGCCAGAUGCCCCAGAGGGAAUGAACAGAACAGGGAAUCACCAAGUGAUCCAUCCCCUGUCGCCCAUUCCCAGCUUCUGGCAAACAGAGGCUAGGGACACCACCUCUUCCCCUCCUGGCGAAUAGCCAUUAAUGGACCUAUCCUCCAUGAACUUAUCUAGUUCUUUUUUGAACCCUGUUAUACUCUUGGCCUUCACAACAUCCUCUGGCAAGGAGUUCCACAGGUUGACUGUGCGUUAUGUGAAGAAAUACUUCCUUUUGUUUGUUUUAAACCUGCUGCCUAUUCAUUUCAUUUGGUGACCUCUAGUUCUUGUGUUAUGAGAAGGAGUAAAUAACACUUCCAUAUUUACUUUCUCUAUACCACUCAUGAUUUUAUAGAUCUCUAUCAUAUCCCUCCCUAGUCAACUCUUUUCCAAGCUGAAAAUUCCCAGUCUUAGUAAUCUCUCCUCAUACGGAAGCCAUUCUAUACCUCUAAUCAUUUUUGUUGCCCUUUUCUGAACCUUUUCUAAUUCCAUUAUAUCUUUUUUGAGAUGGGGUGACCACAUCUGCAGGCAAUAUUCAAGAUGUGGGCAUACCAUGGAUUUAUAUAAAGGCAAUGUGACAUUUUCUGUCUUACUAUCUAUCCCUUUCUUAAUGAUUCCCAACAUUCUGUUCGUUUUUUAGACUGCUGCUGCACAUCGAGUGGAUGAUUUCAGAGAACGAUCCACAAUGACGCCAAGAUCUCUUUCUUGAGUGGUAACAGCUAAUUUAGACCCCAUCAUUUUACAUGUAUAGUUGGGAUUAUGUUUUCCAGUGUGCAUUACUCUGCAUUUAUCAAUACAGGCAAGUCUCAUUUUACUCUGGGGUUACGUUCCGCUGUCAGCGCUUAAAGCAAAAAUCGUGUAUAGUCAAAAUUACAUUGAGUGUAAUGGCGGGUGGAAUCGCCCGCACUUCAGGUACAGUAUUUAAAUAGUUAUUUUUCUCUCUUGUUUUUCUUUUUGCUGACAGUGCAAAGCUGAAUUCGCGCAUGUUAAAUGUGCGUAAGAUGAGACUCGCCUCUACUGAAUGUCACCUGCCAUUUUGUUGCCCAGUCACCCAGUUUUGAGAGAUCCUUUUGUAGCUCUUCACAGUCUGCUUUGGACUUAACUAUCUUGAGUAGUUUUGUGUCAUCUGCAAAUUUUCCCACCUCACCGUUUACCUCUUUUUCCAGAUCGUUUACGUUAAAUAGGACUGGGGUCAGUACAGACCCCUGGGGGACACCACUAUUCACCUCUCUCCAUUCUGAAACUUGACCCUUUAUUCCUACCUUGCUCAGUAGGCAGGCAGGUGUGUGUGAACAGAGGAAGCCCUAGAUGUGUAAUAUAACACCCAGUGCAUGCUCCAGGGACAUGCCCUUUAGCCUGAAAAUCCAUCUAGGCACUUGUGAUUUGCCAGGACAGUCUGGGUGACCAGACUGCAGUAGCAGGGAGCGGAAAGUAAGUUCCGUCACACGGAGGUACAAAAGAAAGUGUUUGGCAAACGACGAGCCAGCGUGACUGUCUCACCUGUUCAUUGCAACGCCUUUCGCUGCCUCAGCCGUGGCCAGCACCGCUGACGCCUGACAGACCAAACAGCAGCCGCCAGAGAACACAGGAACCUCUGGUAGCAGCAGGCCUGAGCUCUUUGCUGCUGCGGCUCGCUGCACUGCAUGGAAGGGCCCAGCUUGCCGAGGGUUAACAUCUGAUUACAGCCUUUGUCUCUGCAUCAGUGUACAU